rnacentral:rRNA from 1 species
GUAGGUGGCAAGCGUUGUCCGGAAUUAUUGGGCGUAAAGCGCGCGCAGGCGGUCCUUUAAGUCUGAUGUGAAAGCCCACGGCUCAACCGUGGAGGGUCAUUGGAAACUGGGGGACUUGAGUACAGAAGAGGAAAGCGGAAUUCCAAGUGUAGCGGUGAAAUGCGUAGAGAUUUGGAGGAACACCAGUGGCGAAGGCGGCUUUCUGGUCUGUAACUGACGCUGAGGCGCGAAAGCGUGGGGAGCAAACAGGGAUUAGAUACCCUGGUAGUCCACGCCGUAAACGAUGAGUGCUAAGUGUUAGGGGGUUUCCCGCCCCUUAGUGCUGCAGCUAACGCAUUAAGCACUCCGCCCCGGGGAGUACGGCCGCAAGGCUG